CGAGACGCCCGGUGACUUCUGCUGGCACCUGCUGCCCUCGGCAUCACCUCCCUCAUCCCCCUGGAGGGCACGCUGGAAAGCUGCAACUCCCCACCCUCCGCACAGGAGCGCCCCGUAGACGCGCAGAUGGGCCCAGCCACCCAGCGGGGCGGCAGCCCUGAGCACACAAGUUUGGAGAGCGCGCGAGGCACCUGAAAGUGGUUGGGGUUUGGAAGCAAAAGGGUGACACCUGCUGUUCGCUGGGACCGCUCUGCGGGUGUGGGCGUCGGUUUGGAAACGUCCUUUGCCUGAGCUCUGCUUGAACCUGGGUGCCAGAGACUACCUGGGACAGCUCUACUGACAUCAUCAGCACGUGAUUCUAGCCUCAUUAACUCUAACUUGGGAAAAGUGCUUCUGGAGGAAAGGGAAGAGAUUCUAAGGCUGUGUGCCCCAUUCUUAUUACUCUAUCUCAGUGGGUCUCAAUCCCGGCUACACAUUGGAAUCACUUGGAAAGCUUUAAAAAUAAAACCAAACCUGUGCUUGGGCUCCACCAUAGGUGUUCACCACAGCUGUCAGUAUAAAUCAAUGCAUCUUGGUUCCAUUCUUCAUCAUUUGCUGGUAGCUAAAUUAUGGUAAAUUCAGCUAAGGACAUUUUAAAAUCCUGUUUAAUUUGUCCACAUGCUAAAUAUCCCAGCACACAAGAGAAAAAGCAGCAUGUACUUGGAUAAGACAAACCUAGGGCUUCCUUCGAGUUAAGGAACAGUCUUGGAAGUCUUGUUAUAGUUAAUGGUUUUUUGAGUGGAUGAGCAAAUGAAUGAAUAUACAAAUGGUUAUGCACACAAUUAAGCAAACUACUUGAUCACAUUCCUCCUUUUGGUUUUGCUUCCUCUACCUGUCAGUUGUCCUGAACACCUGCGGAGGUAUUUUGUGCAGGAUGGUUUACCACAUUGGCCUUGGGAGUUGAGGAAGCACCAGCUUAGGUUCUGCCACGUGCUCUUUCCUGACAGCGAGUGCUGCUGGCUGCUGACGCCUAGAAUCUCAGCACGGGAGCUGCCUUUGUCACAGACCUUGGUUCCCCAUUCAAUCGAGCACCUGUGCAGUUGCCCUGUGGUCUAGCAUCCCAGGCUCAGCAGUGACAGCUCCUGAUGGGCUUUCACCUGACUUUCUAAAUCAGUGCUGUUCUAAAUCUGUGCUAAAUCUGGUGACCAGCCAGAGCCUGGUCACCCCUGCAUGGAGUAGGAGUGAAGCUUAUGAAAAGGUGAGGUGCCAAACACACAGAGGAGAACACGGAGGAGGCCAUAUUGUAAUAAAGAGAAAGCAAGCAGUCAGAAGUCACCCCAUAAAACACCUUCCACCCUCUGAGCAUGACCAGCAAAGCGGUUUCUUCUUGCGGACACUGCAUCAGCCCAGCUCAAAGUGCAUUCCAUUCUGAUGAACAUCCACAAACAGUUAUGAAGAAGACCCAAAUGUCAUGAUUUUGUUCCUCUCAGAUAAUAAAAAUAUCAUGAUUCUGAA